rnacentral:rRNA from 1 species
GACGAACGCUGGCGGCGCGCUUAACACAUGCAAGUCGAGCGAAGCGGCGGACGGGUGAGUAACACGUGAGUAACCUGCCUUAGACAUAGGGAUAGCCUCGGGAAACCGGGAUUAAUACCAAAUGGUGUAAGAUGGACUCGCGUCCUAUCAGCUUGUUGGUGGGGUAGUGGCCUACCAAGGCGACGACGGGUAGCCGGCCUGAGAGGGCGACCGGCCACAUUGGGACUGAGAUACGGCCCAAACUCUACGGGAGGCAGCAGUAAGGAAUAUUGCGCAAUGGGGGAAACCCUGACGCAGCAACGCCGCGUGGAGGAUGACACUUUUCGGAGCGUAAACUCCUUUUAUCAGGAAAGCGGUACCUGAUGAAUAAGCACCGGCUAACUCCGUGCCAGCAGCCGCGGUAAUUC